AUUAGGUCUAUGGCGUGUGUGUCUCUGGCCUGAAAAUGUGUAUAAAAGAAAUGCCUUUGUGCUCAUUAAACAGAUCUUCUUACCCUCAACUCACAGCCUCGUCUCGUGUUGUAGGGAACAGCUAUAACAGCUAUAUCACUGCUAGCUCUUGUAAGAGUUCUCUUCAGCUAUACAGCUAUACACUCCUGGAGGAGACGUACUUCUCACAGCUAUACCCUCCUGGAGGAGCGGUCCUUCCAACAUGGUCCUGGGUCCAGAGGUUGGACCAGGGUGGGAAGGAGAUGGCG